rnacentral:lncRNA from 1 species
AUCAAAUUUCAAGGUUGCAGAAAACACCAUUUCAGCUACAGUACAUGCCUUAGUUAGCAUGAUGUGAAUACCAGGAUAUGCUACAGCUGGUGAACGGACUUCCUUUUGGGAAUGGUAAAGUGAGUAACCUCUAAUGAUGUGUUUCAAAUGAAUCCUUUUACCUUUAGCACGGAAACUCCUGACUUUGGUUCAUCAGACAGGCAGCCAAACGUUCAGACUGGAUUUGGCAUUCUUAUCCACCCAGAUCAGCAGAGAUUAACUCCAGACCAACAAUCAAUUAAACAAUACCCCAAGAAGCUGCUAAAGAAGCCAACAGCAAACAGUUCGACUAAAGAACCUCUAAGACCAUCCUCAUCAAUACACUAGGCAAGCCACUAGAAUAUAAACUGAACGCAAACUGCACUCCUUACUAGCACUGAUGGUGUUACCUAUUUUGGGUAAUGAAAUAUCUGCAAGAAAACAAGCAAGGUCAGAAAGCACCAAGGACCCCUCGUGUCAACCCUGAGCUAUAAACAUUCUUUAUUAUAUACCAAGAAAUCACCAAAGAUUGAUUACACUAAAUCUGAUUUUUUUUACUUUUUCCCAAAUUCCCUGUUGUGCAUGCUUGACAGCUGAUUAAGAAGCAAACAAAACAAGUUAAAAUCUGCAAUUAUUUCUGUGUAGUGUUUCAUGCCUCUGGCAAAUGCAGACAACCUUGAGAUUACAGAAAGUACAGUCUAAAUUUCUAAGGAGUGUCUUUCCAAAUGAAGUGAAACGUAUGCACUGUCAUUCACCACCAUAAGGCUGAUGUGGUCAAACUUGAAACGAAUGUAUGUAUAUUGCUUUCAUAUUAAUUAGAGUUUGUUCCUGCAAGCCUGGACUCUCUGAUCUUGAUUGAUAAUUUGAAUAGCCUUGAAAAAGAUUAAUUCCCCCAAGAAUUUUGAUGAUGAGAGCCAAGCAGGUGGUAAAGAAAAGUGCAGAGAUGACCUUAAAGAAAAUAUGCAAUAACUGAUAGUAAAAUCUGAGCUUACCCCAUGAAAAUGGCCCUAUCUUGAUUUUCUUUGGUACAGCAGGGAAAGAAAUAGAAAUGGUGGCAGCUCUUCAAUAUUGUAUUCUCAGAGCUGCUAUCAAUAAAGUAUAAGUCUAGAAAUUUUUGUAAUGUCUG